rnacentral:lncRNA from 1 species
UUGCGAAACAACAACGGUGUGGAAGGUCGCUGAUUACGACCACUCAGCCGGAAAAUGGUGGGUGAUAACCGAUGGGGUUAAAGGGAACCCAGGUGCCAACACUUUGACCAGUUGGUUUAGAAUAGAGAAGACGACUACUGAUUUUGAUUACACAUUUAAGUACUGCCCCGCAGUAUGUGGAACAUGCCCAGCCUUAUGCAACAAAAUUGUGAGAGACUUUGAUGGAGAAAUGGUACGUUUGGCUCUCACCACUGGCCAUGGAUGGCCAUUUAUCUUUAAGAAAGUUGGAAAAUCAGCCAUGGAGAUUGAACAAGUUGUUCAUAAUUAGAUUGAAAGCAAUCAUUAUGCAUGAACUAGUAGUUACUACAUAAUAUUAGCUUCAAGUAAAUAAUGCUGAGGGAACUUAUUGUUAAGAUUGCCUUGUUUGAAGCGGCAGCAUGUAUAUAUAUAUGCUUGCUUACAAGGUUUGUCUCUCAGAGUCCUCCUCUUUGUACUCUUUUCAGCUUAAUGAAUAAACUGUUUACUUAUUUACUUCUUUUGUUGCCAUUGAUUCUAGUAGCAUUCGACUCAUUAACUUGGAUACAUUACCUUGUAAUUAACCAAAAAGUUAUGUGUAUAUAUAUAAAGAGUGUGUGAGAGAAAAAAUAAAAUACCAAGUACCAAGUGAAAAAUGUUAAUACUAGGAUUAUUCAAAGCGAUUUCAAUGAACAGAAAUGGAAUAGUCGUCGGGUGGUUAGGACAUUUUAUCUUUAGAGAUAAAGAAGGUUGGUUCAUGUUCGGAGUUUGUGGCCACUCCUUCAAUAAUAUCGUUUUUAAAGUUUAAACUUGUAUCACAUUUUAAACACGUAAUGUAUCUUACCAUUACAUCCAACAAUAUUAACCAUUUACUCUAUUGUAUUGUAUUGUAUUCUAUUAUUAAUUAAUGAUUAUGAUAUGUAUUAAGUUUAAGAUGAAUUUUCUCAGUAAUGUAUAUCAAUGAAAUCAAAUAUUUGUAUUUAAAGUUUUAACUCCACAUUAACUUUUUUUUUAUUUUGUCCGUUUGCUGGCGAUGAUUAGGAGAUUAAUGGUUGGUAUUUGUGGUUAGUAGCUUAUAACUCGAGGGUUGAUAGUGGCCCGACUCCACUUAAAUAAAAAAUUUUACAUUUAAAUUUCUUUAUAAUUUAUAAAAUUUUAAAUUAAUAAUAAAAAAUUAUAUUUUAACUCUCUAAAAUUAAUAAAAAUGAUAAAAAUGUAGAAGUAAAUUUAUACAAUUAAUGAUAAUAAUGAUAAGAAGUUGUUUCCUAUCACAUGGAAAUUUAUGGCAUCGUCCAUUUGGUUUUAUAUUUGUCCAUUUGCUUGGUUAAGAGUUGAAAGACAAACUAUAAUUAAAUAUACAAAACCAAACGAAUUUCAAGGGUUUUCUCUUCAAUUAUUGUCGAAUUUAGCUAAUUAUUAGUAAUUUUUAUUAUUUAAUUAUAAAAAUUAUAAAAUAGUGACUUAAUUAUAAAUAUAUAUAUAUAUAUAAAAUAGCCAUCUAAUUAUUUAAUUUUUUUCUUUUUUAUCAUCACAGGAUUAAUGGUGGUAAUUUUUAUAAUUGACAUAAUAGUAACUUUAACCAUUAAUAAUUAUACAUUAUGUCAAUUUAGUCUUGAUUCUAAAAAAUUUAACCUUUGACAUUUACACAUAUAUAAUUUGAUAUUUUUAUAAUUUUAUUUUUUACUAAAAAUAAAUCAUGAAAAUAAUAAAAUAUGCAUAAAAAUAAAAAUACAGCUACCGAGUAUAUGUCUUAUUGUAGAUUUAUAACAAUUAUCUUUUCAUAAAGAUAUUUUAUUAUAAAAUAUAUAAUAAGCACUUCCCUGUAACAAAUAAAAUUGUAGUAAACAAAUGAAAUUAUUAUAAAGAAGAAUUUUCUAUUUUCAUAAUAAUAAUAAUAAUAAUAAAAGAAAAGAAAAAAGUGGUUCUAUUAAUUCACCUCACAUUUGAAAUAUGUUAUAUGUAAUAAUAUUAAUGUCUUUAUCAAUUUUGGUGGUUCAUCCUUUCCCAUCUCUAUAAAUUUGCAUGCAGAACUAAAGCAACACAUAUCAACACAAUCUGUAUAACCAUGAAAACCACAACAGCUUCGGUGUUUCUUCUUUUCAUCAUCUUCUCAAUCACACCAUUGUCCUUUUCGUUUGGUGUGGCCAACACUACAAACGCUCCUGUGCUCGACAGUGAUGGCAACGAGCUCCGCACAGGCACCCCAUACUUCGUUGUGUCGUCGAUAUGGGGUGCUGGUGGUGGGGGGCUUGCCCUAGGCAUGCCUAGAGGAAAGCCAUGCCCGGAAGUCGUUGCUCAAAGAGGAUCCGGUGACGAUGGUAUUCCGGUGAUAUUUUCUAAUUCGGACUCCAACGAUGGCGUUGUUCGCCUAUCCUCUGACAUAAACAUAGAGUUCAUUCCCCUCAGACCCAGAUUUUGCCAAACAACAACGGUGUGGAAGGUCGAUGAUUACGACCACUCAGCCGGAAAAUGGUGGGUGAUAACCGAUGGGGUUAAAGGGAACCCAGGUGCCAACACUUUGACCAGUUGGUUUAGAAUAGAGAAGGCGGGUGAUCUUGAUUACCCAUUUAAGUACUGCCCCGCUGUAUGUGGAACAUGCCCAGCCUUAUGCAACAAAAUUACGAGAGACUCAGAUGGAGAAAUGAUACGUUUGGCUCUCUCCGCUGGCCAUGGAUGGCCAUUUUUCUUUAAGAAAUUUCAAACAUCAGCCAUGGAGAUUGAACAAGUUGUUCAUAAUUAGAUUGAAAGCAAUCAUUAUGCAUGAACUAGUAGUUACUAUACAAUAUUAGCUUCAAGUAAAUAAUGCUGGGAGAACUGAUUGUUAAGAUUGCCUUGUUUGAAGCAGCAGCAUGUAUAUAUAUAUGCUUGCUUACAAGGUUUGUCUCUCAGAGUCCUUCUCUUUGUACUCUUUUCAGCUUAAUAUAUAAACUGUCUACUUAUUUACUUCUUUUAUUGCCAUUGAUUCUAGUAGUAUUAGACUCAUUAACUUGGAUACAUUGUCUUGUAAGAGAUAGCUUAUCUCUUAACAACUGUUUGGGUCAACAAAAUUAAUGUAUAUAUGAAAACGAAUAUUGAAUUUGGAUGUCCAAUCAAUUUUUUUAAUUAAUUAAUUAAAAAGAAUUGUUUUAAUUCAAAAAAUCUAAAAGAAUUUGAUAAAAAAUGUGGAAGGGCACACUUGUAUGAUGAAUAGUAGUGAUAAUAAUGAUAGAAGUCGUUUUCCUAGCACAAGUAUGGGAUUCGUCCAUUUGGUUUUAUAUUUAUCCACUUGCCUGAGUGUUUAAGAGUUAAAAAGGACAAAACUAUUAAGUAGAAAACACCAAACGAAUUGGAAGGCUUUUGUCUUCUUCAAUUAGUAUGACCUAUAUUUCUUAUUAAACUUCGUAUUUUACAUUCAAUAUCAUCAUCGCAAUCAUUUUAAUUUAUUUUCAUGAAUAAACUUUUAUGUCCCAUUUUAAUUGAAUCAUUAAAAAUUAUUAAUUGAAUUUUUUUUAAGUCAAGUGAUACUAAUUUGAUUUUUUUAAAAAAGUUGUUUGAAUUAAUUUGAUUUCGUGUCAUAAUUGACAUAAAUGGCCAUUGUGAAUGGCAACAUCAAUAGUUAUUGAGUACAGCGGCUAAAAUUUUCAGUUAAAAAAAAAAGAAUGAAAGGAAAACAAAAAGAAAAACGUGGAAAGAAAGAAAGAAAGAAAGAAUAAUAAUAAUAAUAAUAAUAAUAAAUAAAAUAGAAUUGUGGGGGCGAUGCUUUUGAACAAAUCUUGAUUUAAACUAUAUAAAGAAAAUAUGUGUUAUAUAUAUAAUUAAUUAUGUACUUAUACUUAAUAUAUUAUAUAUCUAAUGUCAUAUUUUCAUAUUCUCAGGAAGUGGUGACAUACAAAUACUUGAUUCGAUUUAUUUCUUUAGCUCCCCGUGAAUUGUAUGUUUGUAACAUUAGGGAUAGAAUUUCUUCAAUUAUCCAAUUGACUGGACGUAUUGUGUCGAUUUUUUUUUAGUAAUAUACCUAGAAAUACCCGUUGAUUCUUUAUAAACGCUGUUUCGAACACAACUGGUACACUCUAAAAUAAUUUACUUGAACAUCAUUACUCUUAGCCAUGAACCUCCUUUGAGUUUUUAAUUCACCCAACUUUUUUAUUUUCCGAUCAAAAGCAAAGAAGAAAGGAAUGAAAAGAAAAGAAAGAAAUCAAAGUUGCUAACUCAAAACCAAAUCCUGAAAAUUUUCAUUUCAAUGAAUAUAGUAAGUAAAUAUAGAUUUAUAGUAAUAGCAAAUAAUAAGAAUUAAGUAAUAUAACGAUUUUUAAUUCUAUUUAGAAUCAAUUAAAAUAUUCAAAUAAAUAUUCAAUUAAAAUAAAUUAAACUGUAUAAAUUUUAUAAUUUUAAAUUAUUAUUUUUGUAUUAAUUUAAAAACAAAAUAAAUAUUAUAUACAAUGAUUUAGUUACAGCGUGUCAGCUUGAAGUCUAAGACUUUAUAACAUAUAAAUUUAAUAGAUAAUUAAUAACUAAAAAAUUAAAUAGCAAAAGCAUAAUUGCGCCACUUCUCACCAUUUUAAUGUAUGCAACUUAUUAUAUAUUUAUAUAUAUUAUCAUUUUAUUUUAAAUAAUUUAAUUUUAUAAAUUUAGGGAUAAAUCUCAAAAUUAUACAUGAACUUUAAUUUAAUAUGCAAUUGUAUAUAUAAACUUUAAUUUGGUACAAUUAUACACGUGAUACUUUAAUUGUGGUUUAAAUACUCACUUGAAACUUUAGUUUUGAUUUAAUAAUGCAUAUUUAAAUAAAUAAAUACAUCAAUUUUUUUAUAUUGGGUAAAUAUAAUUAUUUAUGUAUGCAAUAUAUAACAUAAAAUGAUGUUAUAUCAAUAAUUGUGUUAAUAAUUUUCAAGAAUUGGAUCAAAUCAAAAUUUCAUGUAUAAAAUUGAACAAAAUCAAAGUUAAUGUAUACAAUUGCACAUUAAACCAUAAUUCAUGUAUAUUUUUUUGUAUAUAUCCCAUAAAUUUAUUUCAUUAACUUUUUACCUAUAUCAUAUAUAGAGUUGUUCGUGAACCGAGCCAAGGAAUGCCUGCUCGAAAAAAUGAGAGGGUUUGGCAAAAAAAUAUAUGCCUAAAAAAUGGGCUUGGAUAAAAAGACAAGGCCCGUUUAGAAAAUGAACCGGCAUUGAGUAGGGUUUUUUUGUCCGGGCUCAGCCUAACCCGAAUUUUCAAUUAAAAAAAACCUUGUUGUUUUUGCUGCUAUUUUUCCAUAUCUUGGUGUUGUUUUCUCACUUUUUGCCGCUAUUUUACUACCAUUUCACUAUUAUGUUACUACUAUUUUUUUUAAUGUUUGGAUAUAGUAUAAUAAUUGUUUUAUUGUUAAUUUUAUCACUAUUUUAGAGACAUUUGUUUGUUAUGUUGUACUUAUUUUAGUUUUUAUUUAAGUAUAAAAAAAUUUAAAAUUUAUUUUCAAUUUAUUGAUAAACAUGUAAUUUAAUAUUUUCAGUGUAUUUAUUGUAUUAUAUUUGUUAAAUUUAUAUAAAAUUAAAAUUAAAAAAAUAUGGACCGAGAUGGGAGUUUAACAAAAAUUUAGGCCCAUUUUUCAAGUCGGGCCGAUCUCAAACCUAACAAUCGGACUUAAAAUUUUGUUAGAGCUCGGCCCAUCCCAUGAACAACUCUAAUUAUAUAUAUAUGUCAUUCUCUAAUAAUAAUAAUAAUAAUAAUAAUAAUAAGUGGAUAACAUAAAACUAGUAGUAAAGAGUAAGAAGACAAAGAAGAAUUAAGUGGAUAACAUAAAACGUGCGAAAACAUUUAUCUUCAAUUCUGACACAUAAAGCUAGUAUUUUUGGGUAAAGUAUAGAAAUGGUGAUUAAAUUAUUGUUGAUGUUCUAUUUUAAUUUUUAAUUUUUCUAUUUUAGUUAUUAAAUUAUUUGAAAUUAAAUUUUUUGGUUAUCAAAGGUUAACAGUAGUUUGAAAUUUAACAGAAAUAUUGAUGUGAACUUUUCUUAUUGAUUUAAUAAUAAAUUUAGCCUUCUAAUAUUUAUAUAUUCUAUUAAUUUGAUACUAAAUAUAAAAAUUUAACAAAUUUAACCUUCAAUAUUUACAAAUUUUGUUAUUUUAAUUCAAAUUCUAAAAAAAAUUUAAUAAAUUUAACCCUCAACAUUAAAAAAUUUGAUAAAUUUCAAUUUUUAAAAUUUUGUAAAUUCCUAAAAUAUAAAGCAUCAUUCUCCACCUCAUAGGAUUCCAUGUAAAUGGAUUUUCUUGAAUUCUUUACCAAGUUGUCUUGAGUUUAAUUUCUUCUUAUUUAGUUUGUGGAAUAAAUGGCAUAUAGUUAGAUGUCACUGCAGCUGACAAUGAAAGGUUUGACAAAGUUGAUAAAUUCAGAGCUUUUGAUGCUGAGCUUCAAAUCAGUCUUGCCUCCACUCACCCAAGAAAUCAACUUUACAAUUUUUAUUAAGUCUUAACUAGAUUAAUAUGAGUAUUGUUAUCAAUAUAGGAGAAAGUGAAUUUUAGUGCGUUGAAACACAUUAUCUUCUUAUUGAUGAAUUGAGGAGGGGCUAUGAAUAGUUUUAAAUAUUAUAUUAAAAAAGCAGAGAUAAUUGAAACCUACAAUAAUAUUGUUCAAAAAAAUUACCUAAAAACACGAAAUCUUACUCCCUGAAUUUUCUAGAAACACAAAUAUUUCUCCCUGCCUUUGAUGGUGUAUACAUGCAUGGCCAUGUGUGAGCUCCUGCAUUUUAACUAAUCAACACAGAUAAUACCCUCAAUGAGACAUUAAAAUUAACUUUUAUUUUUGUUUUUUCAUAAAUUUUAUAAUUUUGUAUUUCAAUGAAAAAAUCUAAAUCUAAGUUGAUCCGAGUCCAAAAAAAAAUCUGAAGCUGUAAAAAGUUUGAUCUGAGGCUGCUCAUUUGCCACCUCUAAUAACCAUUUGAUAGAGGUUUAAUAUAAAGGAAUUUAGAUUUUAGGAAUUUAUAAAAUUUUUAAAAUUAAUUUUUUAUUUGUAAAUACUAAGGGAUAAAUCUAUUGAAGUUUUUAAAAUUUGAACUGAAAUGUCAAAAUUUGUAAACAUUGAAGGCUAAAUUUGUUUAUUUUUUCUAUUUAAGACCAAUCUGAUAGAAUGUGUACACAUUAGAAGACUAAAUUUAUUAUUAGACCAAUAAAAAAAUGCCCAACUUAACGCUUUCUCAAAUUUCAAACCGAUGUUAAUAUUCAAUGACCAAAAUUUUUUAUUUCAAAUAGUUUAGUGACCAGAAUAGAAAAAAAAUUAAAAGUUUGAUGACCAAAAUAGAACGCGGAUAAUAAUUUAAUGAUAUUUUUAUACUUUAUCUGUUUUUUAUGAUUAUUUAUACAUAUCAAGUGGAGCUAAUUUAGGGAAAAGAAUCAAUGGUUAAGGUUGUUGUUGAUACUUAAUGAUCAGGGUCCAAAUUUUGCUAAUGUAAUUUUCCUUAUCAUAAUUUGUAUCUUAAUUUUGUUACCAAAAAAAUAUUAGUAAUAAAUAAUAUAUGCUCGAGAAAUGUACGUAUGAUUGAUUUAAACAAUACAUGUUGGAGUAAUUUACAUAUGGAUUUAAAAUAAAUUUUAAAAAUAAAAUAAAAUUUUAAAAAUCCAAAAGUAUUUUUUCUUUUAAAAAAAUUUAAAAAUAAUUUUUAAAUUAUUUACAUGAUUGAUUUAAAGGAUUUCUUUCUAUUAAUUAUUUUUAUAUUAAAUUUAUUUUCCUUUAUGUAUAACAUUUAAAGGGUUUGUAUAUAUGCUAACUCGCGAGUCAAUUAAAAUUUGUAUUAUAUUCAUUGAAUUUUUUUAAAAUAUAUAUUUUAUUAAUUUAUUUAUUUAUUUGAGACCCAUGAUAAACUUGUAUUUAAAGUUAUUGGUGCACACUAUAAAUUCAUAUAUUGAAAAUGAUAGGUGCUAAAAGUAACAUGUUUUAGUCUCAUUCUUAAUGUGUUUUUGGAUGAUUAUUCGAUAUAAAAUGGUUAAUUUUAUGCUACUAAACUUUUCAAUUUACGUUCUACACUUAAUAGAGCAUUUAGGAGCAAAAGAAGCGAAAAACGAGCGAAAAUAAAAAAAAUAGGAGCAAGUCUCAAAAGCCACACAGGCUGAGCCAUUCCACACGGGUUGGACACAUAACCGAGUGAGCCACACGACCAUGUGCUAGACUGUGUGGAAAUCGCAAAUUACACUCCAAACGGCGUGAAAACACGUUAAUUUUAAGGUUUUUUAAGCAUUUUAAUACCUAUACAUGACAAAGAUAAGAAGAGGGGAGAGAGUCGUCAGAAAAUAUUAAAGAAAACAACUUAAAAAACACCAUUGAAGCUAACUUUGAAGCAAAUUUUCAUCAAGAUUGAAGAUCUCAUUUUGAUUUUUUUGAAGUUUAUUAUGAGUUUCUUUAUUUAUUGUAGUUAUACUGUCUUUAGGAUGUUUUUAUUUGCUAUCAUGAACGAAUUUUCUAAAUACCUAGGGAGAUGAAUCCUAUCAUGAAUUAUGUUAUUUGAUUUCUAUUUUUACGUAAUAAAGACUUAGAUCUUAUUCUCAAUUAUGUGUGCUUAAUUCUUGGUUUAAUAUUUCUAGACUAUUAAUCAAUGUUUGAUGUGCUUAAAUCAGAGGAGGAAUAAACCCUAUUUAAGAGUAGAUCUAGCGUAAAUGAGUGGAGUUGCAUGCAAUCCUAGAAAUAGGACAACAUAAAUCUACCGUAAUAGAUCCAAAUCUAAUAGGGGAAUCUAUAGAUCGAGUUAAUACGAUGAUAGAGGUUUUAAUUAGAAAUAAAUUUCAGUUAAUUAACCUAGAGUCAGUUACUCUUAGUCUUGAAGAGAUAUAUUAGCAUAAUUUAGGGAUUUUUACAGAUCAAUAUUCUAAGUGACGAAGUUGUGUAAUAUAGAUUGAUAAUGACAUAUGAAGUCUAGGUAGAUUCUUUCCUAGGUAUUGUCUCGCUCUUGGUUAUUAUUUGAUUAUUUUCUUGAUUUGUGCUUUGUUGUGUUAUUUAGUUAACUAAUUUAGUUAAUUUUAGUUCCAACCAAUCACUCCAAUUUAUCAGUUAAAUAAUAGAAAAGACGGUAAUUACUGGUACUUUUAGUCUUUGUGAAAACGAUAUCUUUGCUCACUAUAACUAUACUAUUAAUUGAUGUGCACUUGUCUGAGUUAGAUUUUUAGUUGGUUUACGACUGCAAUCAAAAAACUCAUUAAGUUAGCACAAACUAAGUUAAUUAUUCGUUGGUUGCUUUAUUUUUUUUCCUGAAGUUUCGAUUUCAUCUUUCAUUAUGUACAACAAUUUUGGUAUAAAAAUAUCAAAUUCUCGACACUUAAUAUAUACCUUUGAAAUAUAAACACAUGCAUCAAUUUUUUUAGGUUCCUCACAACUUACUUGUCCAAAAUUCUUGUAUCUUUCAGUUCUCCUGAUUGAAUCAAAAUUUGACUUUGUAAUUAUUUUUUAAGGACCUCAAACUAUCAAUUUAUAGUAUAAAUUUUCAAUAGCUUUCAUUCUUUACAAAUUGGUCCCUAAUUAAUCAACAAUGGUAUUAAAGCUUAAGCUUAGGGUCCCGUUGUUUCACUGAAAAUGGCUUUCGAAAAAUAAUUUCUAGAAAAUGACUUACUUUCCUAGAAAAGUUAAUAUUUUCUGAUGUUUGGAUGAAUCAGUGUAAAAUAUUUUAUAUUGUUUGACAAAUUUCUUAAAAAUAUUUCAUAAAAGCUGUUUUCAAUGAAACAAACAUGCAUUUGAGAUUUUCUUAUCUUUUCAUUGUUUAAUUAAGUUUAUCUUAUAUCUAUAAAUUUAUAUUUUACAUUUUUUUGCAUAUAAUAAAAAUAUAUAUUUUUUAAUUCAGGUUCACUACCAUGUCACUUUUUAGUUACAUGACUACCAAGUGAGUAUUUUUUUUAUUUAAAAAUGUGACAUCAACAAAAUUGACAAAAAAAAAAUUUAGCAAUGUCAACAAUUGGACUUGAUUUUCAAAUCUGAAAAGUAGAGGGACUAAAUUCUUGAAAAUAAAAGUAUAGAGACUAAAUUGAAAAUUUGUGAAGAAUACAUAGACUUAUCACAUUUUUUAACUUUUAUACUACAAAAUAUUUAUCAUUAAUAUAUUUAUAAUUAUAAUAAAUAUUUAUUAUUAAAAUAUUAAUAUUAAAUAUUUUCAAUAAGAAGAAUAUUAUUUAAAAUUAUUUUUUUUAAUUUUUUAUUAAAAUAAAAUUGAAAUAUUAAAUAAUUUAUUAAAAUAAUUAAUUUUAUUAAUAAUUAAUUUUAUGACUAAAUAUAAAUAAUUAAAUAUGUGUGUUUAAUAAUAUUGAAAUAUAUAAUAUUUUAUAUUAAUAUUUUAAAUAUUUUUAAAAAUAAAAAUAAAAUUUAUUUUCAAUAUAAUAAUAUUAAUAUUGAUUUAAAUGAAUUUUUAUAUAAAAAUAAAAUUACCUAUAGAUGAGCUCUUUUCCAGAAAAUGACUUACACUUUUCAAAAGGAUAAGUCAUUUUAUAGGAAAAAGAGUUCAAUUUUACAUUGACCUGUAAGUCAUUUUCCGAUGACCAAAAUGUUUUCUGUAAAAUAAACAUAAGAAAAUGAAGAAAAUAUUUUCCGUAAAACCUUUUACAUGUAAACAAACGGACCCUUAAUUCAAGCUUGUUCUAACAUAACCCACUUCACUAUUAGCAUGACUCUUCCUUAUACUAUGUUUAACCAUUAACCCUUCUCAUGAUUUCUAACAAAAAUUCUCUAAGUUCUCUUUAAUGGAAACUUCUAUUAGCUUCAACAAUAAGAAAUUCUAACCAUUGGGUUGGUUGUAUCAAGUUUCAUAGUUUAAAAAACUAUAAAAAAAUUAUUUAGAAAACAAUUUGUUUACCUUUGAUGGCCUUGAUGGAGAACAACUUGGUUUCUUCUUCUACUUAGUUUAAAGAAUGCAUGAAGAAGAAGAAGAUUUCCCCUCUCCCUCUAUCUUAAAUAUAUAUAUAAAUAACCUAUUAAUCAAGGUAAUUAACUCACUAAUUAAUCUUAAUUAGUUAUGAUCUAAUGGCCAUAAACUUACCAUAAGAAAAUUAGUGGAAAUGUGUGGCAUUGAUAAUGGUUUGCCAAUAAUCAAACUUCGGGCAUGGUAAUAUUGCAAUCAGGUCCUUGGUUUAAUUACACUUUAAGUACUUGCUAAAUUCUCUAAUCAAUUCCCACUAGUUGGAUCACUUGAACAAUUGGGUCCAUGUAUUAUAGUUACAACUUAUCUAAUUUAAUCAAUUAAUGAUUUGACUUUAUAAUUUCAUGUGCAACACACAAACUCCUCCGGUAAAUUCUCAAGCUAGCUUUAUUUAAAAAUUUGGCCUCAAAACCAGCUUUCCAAAUGUUCAUGAAAAUUGAGUUGUUACAUUAUGGUAUUUGUUUUGUUCAGCUUAUUUGUCAAGCUCUAUUCCUUUGAACUUAUGUUCGUUGACUUUGGUGUUGCUUAAAUGAAAAUGUGGUGAACAAUAUUAUGGAUAGGAGGAGUGUAUGAUUGAGUAUGUGUAACACCCCUAACCCACAUCCUUCGCCAAAUUAAAGUGACAGAGUGUUAUUAUUCAAAACAGAACAUUCCAUGACAACACAUAAACAAUUAUGCAAAUUAUCACAAUCAUUAAUUAACCAUAUUAAAAUAUAACAUAAGUAUCCAUACGACCUUUAAAUCGAGCUUAUAUGGCCUUAAAAAUAGCUUGGGAUCAAUCUAGGAUCAAUUUGGAACAUAACAUAAAUUUUAAGAAAAAUCUAAAAAUUUUGGGAAACAUGGGUCACACAACCGUAUGUCCAGGCCGUGUGACAUAGCCCAGACCUUGUGGGAAUUCAAAAUCAGGACACUCAAUCAUGUCCUAGCCCGUAUGUCUACCUGUGUGAAUAUUUGAAAUAGGGUCCCACAGUCGUGUCGCGGCCAUGUGCUAAACCGUGUAUAUAUUCAAAUUAUGAACACAUGGCCGUGUCGCAAGCCAUGUGCUAGACCGUGCUCAAAACUAUUUUGAGACACACAGCUGUGCCUUAGGCUGUGUGAAAUUUUCACUUUAGACAACGACACACAGCCGUGUGCCAGACCAUGUACACCAAAAUGUACCUUAAAAAUCAAAUUUACCAAAACAUGUUUACUUAGGCAUCAAGCAACCUAAUUACCAUCAAUCAAACUCAUUCAAAACACAAUUAAACAGGUUCAAAACAUCCAUCCUAAGUGCCUAGCCAUUGUGCCCUCAUUGACAUCAUAAUUCAAUAAUCAAAUCAAUCACAUUUAAACCAAGAUUUAAACAUUCAAAUUAUAAAAUCAUCAUUAACCAUUCAUACCAAAACACUGAUCAUUUCAAGUCAUAAACACCUAGCAAUAUUCACAUACUUUAUAAAGCUUAACUACCAAUACCAAAUAAGAUCCAUACACACAUACAUACCAAACAAAACACAUAUUCACAAGUAUCAUUCAAGAUUUACAACUUUACAUGUAAUUAACAUAAUUUCAAGUCAAUUAUUACAUGUCAUACAACCCAAAACAAACACUAAACAAACUACCAAUAGUUUCUCGAAUAGUGUGAUUCUUGAAAUCAAAUUGAUCACCCGAAGCGUCAAAAAUAAAUCUACAAGAAAGCAUUGGAAGAGACACAAGAGUAAGCUUACUUAAGCUUAGUAAUUUCCAUGGAUUUAAACAAUCAACUUACCGGAUAAACUUAUCUAAUAUAGAGUAUAGAAAAGUCAUAAAUCAUAAUCAUGUCAUCCAUAAUCAGAUCACGAGUGAGUCUUAAACUUAAAUAUGAAUGAAUUAAUUCAAUCAAUUACAUUAUAUCACUAAAUUAUACCCGAUGAACGUUGCAAUGGAUUUGGAUACACAGUUAACCAACCAAACACUCCAAAUCACUCAAAUGAGCUAGCCAUCUGAAAGUACACAUGGGCACCAAGUGCCAAGCCCAUAGGCUAACAUCCCUCCGAAACACACCUUGUCACCAAGUGCCAAGCCCGUAAGCUUUACAUCUGCCCCAGAAACACACCUGAAGCACUGCAAUAUAACGUAAUAGUUCGCAACAAAUGUUGAACUUCAAUAUAUUCAAUAAACAUGAAUAAGAUCAGAAUCAUCAUCUCCACAUCCACCAAUCUCGUAAAGCGCACGAUAUAACUUAUUGACAUGCCAAUUGUAUCCUAUCAUACAUUCAUCGGCUCACAUAUUUGUCAUUUAACAACAUUUAAUACAAUUUCUUUCCCAAAUCAUUUCACUUACCACAAUUCAAUACUUCCAUGUCAUUUAAUAAUUUCAAUCCACAAGUAAUUAAAUAUUUAAAUUAUACUAAAAUUAAACUGUACAAACUCACUAGGGCCAAAUUGCAGAAACAACAAAAGUUCAGGGACUAAUCAACAACCUUCCCUUUUUCCACAAUUAUCAACUUGAUCUUGAUCUAUAAUAUAAUUUAUUUCAAUUAUUAGCCUCAAUUUUCAUAUUCUAAUCAUUUCAAAACAUAUGAUCUCUUAUUUAUAAAUUUACACAUUUAUCCCAAAUUUUUACAUAUUAUACAAUUUAAUCCCUAUGACCAAAUCAAGCUUAGUUCUACAAUUAAAUUCUCAAUCCAUAGAACUAAAUUUUAACCACAUCCAAAACAAUCCAUAUAUGCUAAAAUUUUCAAGAGUAACAUGUCUAUUUCAGUUAAAUCACUAAACAUCAAAUUUUGUAAAAAUCACUUACAAACUCAAUACAUAUGGUCACCAAGCUUCAACCCAAACUAUUUACUACUACAAAUCUUCGAAAAUUUCAAUACAUAAUUUCUAUACUUUGAUAACUUCACAAAUAAACUCCAAAACUAGCUAAAUUCCAUUAUCAAUAGCUCAAAACUUAAAAUUUGAUGAUGAAUAAACCAAGAAAAUACUUACAUGCAUUAAAAACUAACAAAAACCAAGAUCCAAGCCUUAGAACAAUGGUGUUUCGGCCAAACCUAAGAAAAAUAAAGAAGAUGACCACUACCCCACUUUUGUUUUACUUUCCUUUUAUUAUUAUAAUAAUCUUUAUUUAUGAAAUUAUAACAUUAUAAAACACCAAUUUAAUUUUUUUUCUCUCUUUACCGCCCAUAUUAACUAACUAUGGGCUAAUGGCAACAUAACCUCCCUUAGUUUACUAAUUUAAGCUAUUAUAUUAAAAUAAAUCUAUAAUAAGCAACUUUUCCACCUAUUACAUAUUAAUCUUUUUUCUUUAAUCAAUUCACUAUACGUUAAAUUUUCUAAACCAAAACUUAAUACGACACUGAUGACUUUGUAAAUAUUAAAUAAUUAAUAAUUCUAGACUGACACGUCGAAAGUGUAGUCCUAAAACUAUUAUUUUCGACACCACUGGAAAUCGAACUGUUAUAGUAUGAUUCUACCUCUUAGGGGGAGACGUAUUCUAGUUUCCUUUGACUUGUUUAGAUGAUGUGUUAAUCAUUUGCUACUGGUUUUGUCAAAAUGCCAAAUGGUGAGAUUGUUUCAAACUUUGUUCAUGUUCGAACAUUAGAUUAAACAAUGCUUAAUUUGAUGCAUUCAAAGAAUUUAUGUUGGCAUGUUUGACUUUAUAAUGAAAUGGCUUAUGAUUUAAUCUCGUUGAGUAGCAAAUGGGGAAGUGAUUUUGUGUUAUAACAUGUGAUGAUCAUUAUCUUUCAAUCAACUACCUUGAAGAAGAAUGGGAGGAGUUUGAACUUUUGUGGACUUUCGUAAUAUUUGAAGCUGCUAAGAUACUUGUUUAUAAAGACUUUUAUGAUAUAACUAAUCAAAAUAAUUCAUGUCAGAAUUUUUGGAGUUUUAAACUUAUGAAGACUCUAGUAUUGGCCUAUAAAUAGGCAUAAUUACCGCACAUUGAAAAUAGGCUUUUGGAGGGUUUAAGUUGGAUGCUUUGGUGAAUUUUUCCUGUGUUUUAUACAACACUCUUUUUUAAGUUUUUAUUGGGGGAUAUUUGCUUGAUUGUAAGUGAGAUAUUUUGGAGAGAGUGAUUUGUAAUAAUUUAGGUUCAAUAUUGAAGUUGCAAAUAACUACAAGGUAAUGGUAAUUUGGACUCUAGUCAAUAGUUAAUCAAGACGAAUUGUAAAUAAAAAUUAUUUUUUAAGUGAAACUUUACAGAAUAAAACUAGUGAACUCAAACUACGCUAACAAAUAUUAUAUACUAUCUUUCCUUACUUUACUCGUUGCUUUACCUUAUUUUAAAAUUGCUUUGUCAUAAAUGUAUUAUGUUUGACCCUUUCCGAUCGAAAUAAAAAAAUGAGAUUGAAAUUGUGAUAAAGCUAAAAAAAAGUUACAACAAAUAUGAUUAAUAUUAUUUUUAUAUAUACUUACUAAAAUUUAAAAAGGAAUUACAUUUAUCGAAUAUUAUUUUAUUUAAUAAAUAUAAUUAAUAUAUUUUAUAUAAAAUUUAAACUUUUUAUUAUUUGUUAGCUAAAUUUUAUUAUUUUUAUUUUCUUUAUGAAUAAAAUUAAUUUUCCUAAAAUUUGAGAUAAAAAAAUGUUAUAUAGAAAAUUAAAUUAGUAAAAAGUGCAGUUCAUACUUUAUAAUUAUUAUAAAUGAAAAAAUAUUAUAAAAGAUAAAUAUUAAACAUAAAAAAAUCAAUUCUAAAAUAAACUUAACUAUUAUAAUAAAAUAUUUUUAUAUAAAAAAGAAAUUAUAGAAAAGACUUACUGAUUAUAUUUCCAAUUUUCGACAUUCAUAAAAAAAAAGUGGUCCUAAUAAUUUAUUUAUACAAAAAAAAAAGUGGUCCUAUUAAUUAACCUCACAUUUGAAAUGUGUUAUAUGUAAUAAUAUUAAUAUCUUUAUCAAUUUUGGAGGUUCAUCCUUUCCCAUCUCUAUAAAUUCGCAUGGAGAAAUAAAGCAAUACAUCAACACAAUCUGUAUAACCAUGAAAACCACAACAGCUUCAGUGUUUCUUCUUUUCAUCAUCUUCUCAGUCACACCAUCAUCCUUUUUGUUUGGUGUAGCCAACGCUACAAACGAACCUGUACUCGACUUUGAUGGCAACGAGGUUCAAACAGGCACCCCAUAUUACGUUGUGUCGUACAUAUGGGGUGCUGGUGGUGGGGGGCUUGACCUAGGCAGGCCUAGUGGAAACCCAUGCCCGGAAGUCGUUGCUCAAAGAGGAUCCGGUGACAAUGGUAUUCCGGUGAUAUUUUCUAAUUCGGACUCCAACGAUGGCGUUGUUCGCCUAUCCUCUGACAUAAACAUAGAGUUCAUUUCCCUCAGACCCAAACUUUGCCGAACAACAACAGUGUGGAAGGUCGAUGAUUACGACCAUUCAGCCGGAAAAUGGUGGGUGAUAACCGAUGGGGUUAAAGGGAACCCAGGUGCCAACACUUUGACCAGUUGGUUUAGAAUAGAGAAGGUGGGUACUGAUUUUCAAUAUUACACAUUUAAGUACUGCCCCGCAGUAUGUGGAACAUGCCCAGCCUUAUGCAACCAAAUUGUGAGAGACUUUGAUGGAGAAAUGGUACGUUUGGCUCUCACCACUGGCCAUGGAUGGCCAUUUAUCUUUAAGAAAGUUGGAAAAUCAGCCAUGGAGAUUGAACAAGUUGUUCAUAAUUAGAUUGAAAGCAAUCAUUAUGCAUGAACUAGUAGUUACUACAUAAUAUUAGCUUCAAGUAAAUAAUGCUGAGGGAACUUAUUGUUAAGAUUGCCUUGUUUGAAGCGGCAGCAUGUAUAUAUAUAUGCUUGCUUACAAGGUUUGUCUCUCAGAGUCCUCCUCUUUGUACUCUUUUCAGCUUAAUGAAUAAACUGUUUACUUAUUUACUUCUUUUGUUGCCAUUGAUUCUAGUAGCAUUCGACUCAUUAACUUGGAUACAUUACCUUGUAAUUAACCAAAAAGUUAUGUGUAUAUAUAUAAAGAGUGUGUGAGAGAAAAAAUAGAAUACCAAGUACCAAGUGAAAAAUGUUAAUACUAGGAUUAUUCAAAGCGAUUUCAAUGAACAGAAAUGGAAUAGUCGUCGGGUGGUUAGGGCAUUUUAUCUUUAGAGAUAAAGAAGGUUGGUUCAUGUUCGGAGUUUGUGGCUACUCCUUCAAUAAUAUCGUUUUUAAAGUUUAAACUUGUAUCACAUUUUAAACACGUAAUGUAUCUUACCAUUACAUCCAACAAUAUUAACCAUUUACUCUAUUGUAUUGUAUUGUAUUCUAUUAUUAAUUAAUGAUUAUGAUAUGUAUUAAGUUUAAGAUGAAUUUUCUCAGUAAUAUAUAUCAAUGGAAUCAAAUAUUUGUAUUUAAAGUUUUAACUCCACAUUAACUUUUUCUUUAUUUUGUCCGUUUGCUGGCGAUGAUUAGGAGAUUAAUGGUUGGUAUUUGUGGUUAGUAGGUUAUAACUCAAUAGUGAACUCGAGGGUUGAUAGUGGCCCGACUCCACUUAAAUAAAAAAUUUUACAUUUAAAUCUCUUUAUAAUUUAUAAAAUUUUAAAUUAAUAAUAAAAAAAUUAUAUUUUAACUCUCUAAAAUUAAUAAAAAUGAUAAAAAUGUAGAAGUAAAUUUAUACAAUUAAUGAUAAUAAUGAUAAGAAGUUGUUUCCUGUCACAUGGAAAUUUAUGGCAUCGUCCAUUUGGUUUUAUAUUUGUCCAUUUGCUUGGUUAAGAGUUGAAAGACAAACUAUAAUUAAGUAUACAAAACCAAACGAAUUUCAAGGGUUUUCUCUUCAAUUAUUGUCGAAUUUAGCUAAUUAUUAGUAAUUUUUAUUAUUUAAUUAUAAAAAUUAUAAAAUAAUGACUUAAUUAUAAGAAUUAUAAAAUAGUGACUUAAUUAUAAAAAUAUAUAUAAAUAGCCAUCUAAUUAUUUAAUUUUUUUUCUUUUUUAUCAUCACCGGAUUAAUGGUGGUAAUUUUUAUAAUUGACAUAAUAGUAACUUUAACCAUUAAUAAUUAUACAUUAUGUCAAUUUAGUCUUGAUUCUAAAAAAUUUAACCUUUGACAUUUACACAUAUAUAAUUUGACAUUUUUAUAAUUUUAUUUUUUACUAAAAAUAAAUCAUGAAAAUAAUAAAAUAUGCAUAAAAAUAAAAAUACAGCUACCGAGUAUAUGUCUUAAUGUAGAUUUAUAACAAUUAUCUUUUCAUAAAGAUAUUUUAUUAUAAAAUAUAUAAUAAGCACUUCCCUGUAACAAAUAAAAUUGUAGUAAACAAAUGAAAUUAUUAUAAAGAAGAAUUUUCUAUUUUCAUAAUAAUAAUAAUAAUAAUAAUAAUAAAAGAAAAGAAAAAAGUGGUUCUAUUAAUUCACCUCACAUUUGAAAUGUGUUAUAUGUAAUAAUAUUAAUGUCUUUAUCAAUUUUGGUGGUUCAUCCUUUCCCAUCUCUAUAAACACUACACCAGAAUAGGUUUUUAGCGGCGUUUUUUAGGCCUUUAGCGACGCUUAUUAACGCCACUAAAUCUAUUUCCGGCACUUACAAAAAAAAGCCGCUAAAGAUCAUGUUCUUUAGCGGCGCUUAGGAAAAAACGCCGCAAAAAAUCAUGUUCUUUAGCGGCGCUUAGAAAAAAACGCCGCUAAAGAUCAUGUUCUUUAACGGCGCUUAGAAAAAAACGCCGCUAAAGAUCAUGUUCUUUAGCGGCGCUUUGGAAGAAAACACCUCUAAAAGUAAUGUUCUAUAGCGGCGCUUGUUCAAAAACGCCGCUAAAAGUAGUGUUCUUUAGCGUCGCUUGUUUCACAAACGCCACUGUUUUGAUAUGACUUUUAGCGGCGCUUUUUUAAAAAAUGUCACUAAUUUUGGGAUUUUUUUAAAAUAAAAUUUUCUGUUUUUUUCAGCCCUCCUGCAACAACAAAUCAAAAGCAACCAGAUCUAAACUAACCAAAAAUAAUAAAUUUAUAUAAUAUUUCAAAUUAAAUGAAUAAAAUAAUAUUAAUUGAUAUAAAUAAAAGUGAAUUUCAGACUUUUCUUUACAAAAACGUUAAAAGUAUUUAUGCAACAUACACUAUGACGGCGGAAGUUGCGACUGCUGAAACAUCUUCAUCAUAAUCUAAAGCUGCUGUUGAAGUUCGUCGUACUUUUUGCUCUACUUUGCUUCUCUCGAUGCCGCAUCUUUUUGAAGCCGUAGCUGUAGUUCUUCACAUUUCUUUUGAACCUCUGCUUCUAUCGCUGCUUAUCUCGCUACGGCAUCUGCUUCCCUCACUGCUGCCUCUGAUUUAAGUUGUUGCUGAAGUUCUUCAUAUUUCCUUUGAACCUCAAAUGUGGUCGCUUGCAUCUGAGUCAUCUAGUCUUUUAACCUCUGAACUUCAGCUUGAGACUGACUCCCCGAAGCCAUGUAUUGGUGCGAGCUGGAUCCAAAAUAUUGGGUUGGGCUGAUAAAAGAUCCUUGAAAUCGAACCCGACCAUACUUUUCAGGACCCAAAACUUUAGUAAUAAUCCGGUUAUCAAUGUCUUCAAGAUGAAUAGAACUAUCACUAGAAGCAAUCGUUUCGUACUCUGUCUUUUUUUCCUUCAGUUUUUCCUAAUAAAUAAAUCACAUAGUUAGGAACGCAAUAUAUAGUAAAAAAAACAAAUGCAAUAUAACAAUAGUCGCAUUACAAGCAAUGAAUUAAACCAUUAGAAAAUAAACACUAUAAAUAACUAAAACAAGUGAAAUCGUAUUAAGUAAACGUACCAUAAUUUCACCAGCUUCAGGAGUCAUAGCAGAUCCAUCUUUCUUCUUAUGUGUAAUUUCAAAAAGUUGAAGGCGUCCAACUUUUUGAUCGGACGACCGUUCCUACAACACUCUUUUUUAAGUUUUUAUUGGGGGAUAUUUGCUUGAUGUAAGUGAGAUAUUUUGGAGAGAGUGAUUUGUAAUAAUUUAGGUUCAAUAUUGAAGUUGCAAAUAACUAUAAGGUAAUGGUAAUUUAGACUUUAGUCAAUAGUUAAUCAAGACGAAUUGUAAAUAAAAAUUAUUUUUUAAGCGAAACUCUACAGAAUAAAACUAGUGAACUCAAACUACUGAACUCAAACUACGCUAACAAAUAUUACAUAUUAUCUUUCCUUACUUUACUUGUUGCUUUACCUUAUUUUAAAAUUGUUUUGUCAUAAAUGUAUUAUGUUUGAACCUUUCCGAUCGAAAUAAAAAAAAUGAGAUUGAAAUUGUGAUAAAGCUAAAAAAAGGUUACAACAAAUAUGAUUAAUAUUAUUUUUAUAUAUACUUAAUAAAAGUUAAAAAGGGAAUUACAUUUAUUGAAUAUUAUUUUAUUUAAUAAAAUAUAAUUACUAUAUUUUAUAUAAAAUUUAAAUAUUUUAUUGUUUGUUAGUUAAAUUUUAUUUUUUUUUAUUUUCUUUAUGAAUAAAAUUAAUUUUCCUAAAAUUUGAGAUAAAAAAUGUUAUAUAGAAAAUUAAAUUAGUAAAAAGUUAAAAAAAUCAAUUCUAAAAUAAACUUAACUAUUAUAAUAAAAUAUUUUUAUAUAAAAAAAAAGAAAUUAUAGAAAAGACUUAUUGAAUAUAUUUCCUAUUUUCGACAUUCAUAAAAAAAAAAAAGUGGUCCUAAUAAUUUUUUUAUACAAAACAAAAAAAAGUGGUCCUAUUAAUUUACCUCACAUUUGAAAUGUGUUAUAUGUAAUAAUAUUAAUAUCUUUAUCAAUUUUGGAGGUUCAUCCUUUCCCAUCUCUAUAAAUUUGCAUGCAGAACUAAAGCAACACAUAUCAACACAAUCUGUAUAACCAUGAAAACCACAACAGCUUCGGUGUUUCUUCUUUUCAUCAUCUUCUCAAUCACACCAUUGUCCUUUUCGUUUGGUGUGGCCAACACUUCAAACGCUCCUGUGCUCGACAGUGAUGGCAACGAGCUCCGCACAGGCACCCCAUACUUCGUUGUGUCGUCGAUAUGGGGUGCUGGUGGUGGGGGGCUUGCCCUAGGCAUGCCUAGAGGAAAGCCAUGCCCGGAAGUCGUUGCUCAAAGAGGAUCUGGUGACGAUGGUAUUCCGGUGAUAUUUUCUAAUUCGGACUCCAACGAUGGCGUUGUUCGCCUAUCCUCUGACAUAAACAUAGAGUUCAUUCCCCUCAGACCCAGAUUUUGCCAAACAACAACGGUGUGGAAGGUCGAUGAUUACGACCACUCAGCCGGAAAAUGGUGGGUGAUAACCGAUGGGGUUAAAGGGAACCCAGGUGCCAACACUUUGACCAGUUGGUUUAGAAUAGAGAAGGCGAGUCAUCUUGAUUACACAUUUAAGUACUGCCCCGCAGUAUGUGGAACAUGCCCGGCUUUAUGCAACAAAAUUGCGAGAGACUUAGAUGGAGAAAUGAUGCGUUUGGCUCUCUCCACUGACCAUGGAUGGCCAUUUUUCUUUAAGAAACUUCAAACAUCAGCCAUGGAGAUUGAACAAGUUGUUCAUAAUUAGAUUGAAAGCAAUCAUUAUGCAUGAACUAGUAGUUACUAUACAAUAUUAGCUUCAAGUAAAUAAUGCUGAGAGAACUGAUUGUUAAGAUUGCCUUGUUUGAAGCAGAAGCAUGCAUAUAUAUAUGCUUGCCUACAAGGUUUGUCUCUCAGAAUCCUCUUUGUACUCUUUUCAGCUUAAUAUAUAAACUGUCUACUUAUUUACUUCUUUUAUUAAUGUCAUUGAUUCUAGUAGUAUUAGACUCAUUAACUUGGAUACAUUGUCUUGUAAUUAACCCAAAAAUUAUAUAUAUAUCAAAAAAAAAAAUGAGAGUGAGAGAGGAAAAUAGACUACCAAGUAACAAGUGAAAAAUGGUAAUACUAGGGUUAUUUAGAGUGGUUUCAAUGCACAACCGGAAUGAAUUGUUACCUUAUCUUUAGAGUCAAAGAAGGGUUCGUGACUAGUCUUUCAACAAUACUAUUUUCAAGGUUCAAACCUGCAUUAUCCUUUAAAUACGUAAUGUAUUUUAUCAUUACGCUCAAUAUUAUUAGUGAUUUACUUUAUUCUAUUCUUAAUUAAUAAUUAUGAUAUAUAUAAAGUUUAAGAUGGAUUUUCUUAUUUAUGUAUAUCAAUUAAAUCAAAUAUUUGUAUUUAAAGUUUUAACCCAACAUUAACUUUUUUUUUAAAAAUUUCUUCGUUUGUUGGUGGUGAUUAGGAGAUUGAUGGCCGGUCUUUGUGAUUGGUAGCUUUUAACACAAUGGCGAAGCUAAGGAGGCUUUAAAUGUUUAAAUGAAUAUUUUUUUCAAUUGAAAUUUCUUUAUAAUUUAUAAAAUUUUAAAUUAAUAAUGAUAAAAUUACAUUUUAAUUUUUUAAAAAUGAUAAAAACGUGGAAGCACAUUUGUACGAUUAAUAAUAAUGAUAAUAUUUUUCCUACCACAUGGAAGUUUAUGGAAACACCAUUGGGUUUUGUAUUUAUGUUUUAUUCGACACUCUUAUAAGUUUUACUGGGGAGAUUUGUUUGAUUGUAAGUGAGGUAUUUUGCGGAGAGUGAUUUAUAAUAAUUUAAAAUUAAUAUUGGGGUUACAAAUAACUAUGGGAGUAAAGUAGUUUAGACUUUAGCUAAUAAUUGAUCAAGAUGGAUUGUAGAAUAAAAUCAUUUUCGAAGCAAAAUUUUAUAAAAUUAGUAAAUCUGAAUUAUUCUAUAAUAUUGAUAUUAUCUUUCUUCACUUUAGCCCUUGCUUCACCUUAUCUCAAAAUUAUUCUAUAAUAAUCUAUUUUGUCUCAACCUUUUCAACAGAAUUUAAAAUGAAACUAUUUCUAUGAAGUGCAAACCAAAAACUUUUUCACAUACCAAUAAAUGGCAAGCAACCAUACCGUGGGCCCAAUGUCCCAACAAUCAUCUAAACAUUUUUUUUUUCUUUUUUAAAUAAUAUGUAAUAAUUUAUAUACCAUAAAUGAAUAUUAAUUAAAAUAAUAUAAACAAAAUACGACUCUUUAAUAUAAUAUGGAUCCAAAAUGUUUCAUAUUUGAAAUGCAGUUUUUGAUAAUUUCACAUUUCAUAUUUUAUCUUAGAACAAAAAGAAAAUUUGAACUUAAUAUUUGGACUAUUGAUCAAUGGUGUUUAUUAUAUUUCAAGACUAUCAGAUUAAUCUGUCGAUACUACUUAUAUGGUAUGGUUUAAAUGGGUGUGUGUGGAUAUAGAAAUUUGAAAUUCUAUUGUAUCAAAGAAAUUUUUUUUAAAAAUAAAAUAAAAAGGAAUUUGAAAUUUAAAAUUUGAGAUCAAAAUAAAAAAAAUGAGACUUGUUAUAAACCAUAAGGCUCAAAAAAGGUUACAACAAAUAUGGUUAAUAUUAUUUUUAUAUAUACUUAAUAAAAGUUUAAAAUAUCAAAUUUGUAAUAUUAUUUUUAUUUAAUAAAAUAUAAUUAAUAUAUUUUAUAUAAAAUUUAAAUAUUUUAUUGAAAUAUUAUGUUAGGUAAAUUUUAUUAAUUUUAUUUUCUUUAUAAAUAAAAUUAAUUUUAUUAAAAUUUGAGAUAAGAUAAUUAAAUUAAUAAAAGGUAUACUUCAUAUUUUAUAGUUAUUAUAAAUAAAAAAUUAUUAUAAAAAUUAAAAAAAAAGAAUUCUACAACAUAAUGAAAUAUUUUUAUUAAAAAAAACAGAAAUGAUUGAUGGAAUAUAUUUCCAAUUUUCGACGUUCAUUAAAAAAAAAAGAGUGGUCCUAAUAAUUGAUUUAUUGGGGAAAAAAAAGUGGUCCUACUAAUUUACCUCACAUUUGAAAUGUGUUAUAUGUAAUAAUAUUAAUAUCUUUAUCAAUUUUGGAGGUUCAUCCUUUCCCAUCUCUAUAAAUUCGCAUCGAGAAAUAAAGCAAUACAUCAACGCAAUCUGUAUAACCAUGAAAACCACAACAGCUUCAGUGUUUCUUCUUUUCAUCAUCUUCUCAGUCACACCAUCAUCUUUUUUGUUUGGUGUAGCCAACGCUACAAACGAACCUGUACUCGACAUUGAUGGCAACGAGGUUCAAACAGGCACCCCAUAUUACGUUGUGUCGUCCAUAUGGGGUGCUGGUGGUGGGGGGCUUGCCCUAGGCAGGCCUAGCGGAAACCCAUGCCCGGAAGUCGUUGCUCAAAGACGAUCCGGUGACGAUGGUAUUCCGGUGAUAUUUUCUAAUUCGGACUCCAACGAUGGCGUUGUUCGCCUAUCCUCUGACAUAAACAUAGAGUUCAUUCCCCUCAGACCCAAACUUUGCCGAACAACAACGGUGUGGAAGGUCGAUGAUUACGACCAUUCAGCCGGAAAAUGGUGGGUGAUAACGGAUGGGGUUAAAGGGAACCCGGGUGCCAACACUUUGACCAGUUGGUUUAGGAUAGAGAAGGCGGGUGAUCUUGAUUACACAUUUAAGUACUGCCCUGCAGUAUGUGGAACAUGCCCAGCUUUAUGCAACAAAAUUACGAGAGACUCAGAUGGAGAAAUGGUACGUUUGGCUCUCUCCACUGGCAAUGGAUGGCCAUUUUACUUUAAGAAAGUUGGAAAAUCAGCCAUGGAGAUUCAACAAGUUGCUCGUAAUUAGAUUGAAAGCAAUCAUUAUGCAUGAACUAGUAGUUACUACAUAAUAUUAGCUUCAAGUAAAUAAUGCUGAGAGAACUUAUUGUUAAGAUUGCCUUGUUUGAAGCGGCAGCAUGUAUAUAUAUAUAUGCUUGCUUACAAGGUUAAUUUGUCUCUCAGAGUCCUCUUUGUACUCUUUUCAGCUUAAUGAAUAAACUGUUUACUUAUUUACUUCUUUUGUUGCCAUUGAUUCUAGUAGCAUUCGACUCAUUAACUUGGAUACAUUACCUUGUAAUUAACCAAAAAGUUAUGUAUAUAUAUAUAUAUAUCAAAACAAAACAAAAAAGAGAGUGAGAGAGGAAAAUAGACUACCAAGUACCAAGUGAAAAAUGGUAAUACUAAAUUUCCAGAUAUAUGGCAUUGUUUGUGUGUGACAAACACCAAGUAUAAAUAGGUGGAAGUAUGACUACUUAUCAAGAGUGGUAUGGUUCAAAAACUACCCCUAUCGAAUUAUUUCAUCCUACUCAUUCGUUAUCGAUAGGAAGAAGGAUACUUCCAACAAGAAAUAUUUUGAAGGGUUAGUGUUGAGUUAGCUAAAAAUCAAAGUUUAUCAGAAGCUCGAUCUAAAAUUCGCCAAAAGGAGGAUUAUUCAAAGCGAUUUCAAUAGACAACGGGAAUGGAAUAGUCUUUGAGUGGUUAGGGCACCUUAUCUUUUGAGAUAAAGAAGGGUUGGUCCAUGUUUGCAGUUCGUGACUAAUCCUUACAACAAUGUCGUUUUCAAGGAUUGAACAUGUGUCAUCCUUUGAACAUGUAAUGUGUCUUACAAUUACACCUAACAUUGUUGGUGAUUUACUUUAUUAUAUUCUUAAUUAAUAAUUAUGAUAUAUAGUAUGUUUAAGAUGCAUUUUCUUAUUCAUGUAUAUCAAUUGAAUCAAAUAUUUGUAUUUAAAAUUUUAACUCGACAUAUCGAAGGUCUGCUACUCUAGCACGUCUUUGGUCUGCUGCUCUAGCAUGUUUUGGUUUUUUUAGGGUUUUUUUGGCUUAUUUCUCUUUGUUCUAGCGAUGACAGUUCUUGGGAUAGAGUAUUUCUUUUCAAUCUGGUUGAUUUUGAUUCGUGGCAAUGGAGGAUGAAUUGGCAGAGUUAACAUUGGAAGAUGAGGAAUAGGAGAUUUUGCAAGUACAGAAGGAAACUGAUUCUGCGACAGUGGUUUAAGAUCUUUGUCUGGUUGGAUACUUUCUCACAACGAGUGUAAUCCACUUUAUGACAAUGAGAAGCGCGAUGGCAAAUCUAUGGCAUCCUCUUAGAGGAGUUCAGAUCUCUAAUUUGGGGGAUAAGAAAUUAUUUCAAUUUUUUCAUAAAAUGGAUAUUGAUAGGGUACUAAAUGGGGAUCCAUGGACUUUCAAUAAUCAUCUUUUGGUGAUUCAUUUUUUGGAGGAUGGUGAGGAUCCGAUGAAGGUACCGCUAAUCUAUACGACUUUUAAGGUGCAAGUGCAUGAUUUACCCCCAGGGUUUUUUACUGAAUCUAUAGCAAAGAAGUUAGGCAAUUUUAAGGGUAAGUUUUUUGGAUCAAUGGAAAAAGCUUGGGUAAGGGCCUCAGGAAUUUCUUACAUAUACGGGUUUAGAUGGAUGUUAGAUGCUAUUUGAAGCGAAAAAAGAAGAUUAUGUUUUCACUUGGCAAGUGUUCCUAUGUCAACUUGAUAUACGAAUGACUAACUCUAUUCUAUUUUGUCUAUGGUUGUUUGGUAGACAAUGACUCUUUCUGUCAAGUUAGAAUGGCUAAAGGCUUAGAAGUUGUAGAGAUGGGAUGGUAUCUGUCUCUAAAAGCCCAGUCUAGGAGAGCUACUACGAUGAACAGCGUGUGGCUGCGGGAGGAAGGUAAAGGUGAGAUAAAGGGAAAUACCAUAGGACAUUUUGAUUUAGGGUAGGGAUUGUGGAAGGAUGGAAGGAAAGAAUCUAGGAUGCCCAUAGAUCUGUGUUGGGGUUAAAUUUGGAGGGUGGUUUGAAGUUAGUGUCGGGUAUGCAAGGGAACUCUUCAACGAUACAAGAUCAUUCGAAUAUGGAUCACGACUCAGAGGAAUGCGCUAUAAAAGGUAAAGAUGGGAAAAAAAGACCCAAAAAGGAUAAUGGAAAUCAUAGUGUUUCGAUUGUGACAGAUUCACUUGUGAUUAGAGAUGAGAGAUUGUUGGGACGAACUCACUUUUUAUCGGCAGCUGCCAAGGGGCAAGAUGAUCAGUCACAAUAAAAAUAAUUAGUUGGAACAUCCGUUGAUUGGGGUGUCCACAGGCUAUAAGAAGGCUUUGACAUAUGUUGAAGGUGUAUAAUCCCCAAGUGGUCUUCUUUAUGGAGACAAAAAUUAGUAAUGUGCAAAUAGAGAAUGUGCAUAGAAGGUGUGGAUUUUUAAAUGGUAUUGAUGUUUCGGCCGAUGGUUCAAGAGGAGGUCAUUUUCUAGCUUGGAAGGAAAAUGUUAAAACGAAUCUAAUGAGUUAUUCUAGUAGUCAUGUAGAUGUUGUAUUUUAGAAGAUUGAUAAUGGAGGUUUGCUGGCUUUUAUGGGACAUCAAAUGCGUGUAGCAGAGACGAUUCAUGGAAUUUGUUAAGAAAUCUAGGACGCUCUCAAGCGUUCCCUUGGCUAGUGUGUGACAAUUUUAAUGAAAUUAUAUACUCUUUUGAAAAGGUUGGGGUGCCAAGAGAGGAGAAGAGAAUAGAGGUCUUUUGAGGAGUCUUAUAGGAAUGUUAGUUAAUGGACAUUGGAUACUUUAGGGCUAGGUUUACCUGGGAAAGGGGAAACUUACCGAAAACGAAUAUGAGAGAGCGACUGGAUAGAGGAGUGGCGAAUGCCGAAUGGAUGAACAUGUUUUCUAGUGCAGUGGUUUAGCAUUUACCACAUUCUUUUCCAGAUCAUUGUCCCCUUUUUAAUCAUACGGAGCAGGAGAGUAAUAGGUUGAGGCAGAAAAGGUUUCAGUCCGAGGCAUGGUGGGUGAUGUAAGAAUCUUUUGAGGAGGAGGUUAAACAAAUAUGUCAAUCUACUUCGGGUGAUAUGUUGGCUAAGCUAGAAGGUGUGAGGAAGGGCUUAGUGAGAUGGGCGGGUUUUGUUAGAAAUAAAAGAGAGGGCCUUAAAAGGAAUUUGACUAGAAAAUUGGAGGAGAUGAUGGGAAAGGAUAGAGAUGAUGAGAAUAUUGUUGAACUAUCUUAAAAUUCUCUUGUCAUAACUUGAAGUUUGUGUCAUUUAAUAUAAGAAUACAAUUAAUGCCUGCAAUAAUGUUGGCAGGUAUAAUUAUUGUUGUAUCAAACAAAACAAUCUCAUGUAUGACUUCAAAUAUAAAACAAAAUAAUAAUUAAUUCGAAUAAAGGUAAACCCUAAGAUACCAAUCACUCCAUUAAUAUUUCAUUUUUGAACAAAUAUAUUAAGUUGUAAAUGAUAUCUUGGUGUAGUAAUUAAACACCGACAAUAAGCGUCACAUGUUUAUUACAACAGUUGCAAAUGUAAUUUUGUUAAAUAUUAGCCUCCAUUUAGGCCAGUCAAUAUUAACAUAACUUAAGUUACAUACACACAACCCCAAAAUUAUAAAAGUCCUAUUGUUAAAUUGAUUUGGUUCCUUUGACAUAGGAAAGCCGAAUUGCAUAAACAAUCAAUGUAUCCCCUAUUUUAUUCAUGUUUAUCACAAUGUUUGAAGGAGUGCUCACUCUUUUAGGGCGUGUUUACCAUUGAGGUUGAAAAGUAUCAUUAAACCCAAACAAUUAUUUCAAACCAAACAUUAAUUUUAAACUAGGAUUUUAGGCCAACCCAAAACUUCUAGCUUUUACUUUUUGGAAAGGUGCUUUUCAAUUAAAAACCUUUUUAUUCCUCGUUAAACUUUCUACUUUAUAACAUAAUGUCUAAAAUGGAAAUUUUAUUUUUCUAAAAACACUUAUAGACAACAAUAAUAAUUACUAUUAAUUUUUUCAAAAUCACUUUUCUACGGCACUGUUAAACUUAAAUGAUAAUCUAGCCUUUUAACCACUCUUUUCUAACAGAGAGCUUAUCUCUUAGCAAUAGUUUGGGCAAACAAAAAUAAUGUAUAUAUGAAAACGAAUAUUGAAUUUGAAUGUACAAUCAAUUUUCUGAAUAAUUAAUUAAAAAGAAUGUUUGAAUUCAAAAAUUUUAAAAAUUUUGAUAAAAAAUGUGGAAGCGCAGACUUGUGUGAUGAAUAGUAAUGAUAAUAAUGAUAGAAGCUGUUUCCUGGCACGAGGAACUUAUGGAAUUCGUCCAUUUGGUUCUAUAUUAGCCCUGUUGCUUCCGUGUUUAAGAGUAAAACGACAAAAUAUUAAGUAGAAAACACCAAACGAAUUGAACUAUUUUCUUAAGAUGGUGUCGGUAAUGUAUCUGUGGAUACCCAUUUGAAUUUUUAAAAAACUGAAAAAAUUAAUUUAUUUUUUAGAUUGAAUCAGCAGCAGGAAAAUAAGAAAAAAUACAACUUUGAGUUUGAGUUUGGAACUCUGAGAUUUCGCUCGGUGAUCUGAAUGGUGAGGUGGUAUGUUUAAAUACGGAGAAUAAUAUAUAUUCGACUAGCAACAAUCUGAUGGAGUGAAAUAGGAACUGAAAAAAAGGGUAAUUUAAAGUUUUGGUCAUUGUUUUAAAAGAUUACCUUCAGUCAUUAUAUUUUUCAGUUUUGGAAUUCCAGUACUACUUAAAUUGUAAUUGUUAAAUCUAUUUACUAUAAUGAUAUAAAAUUUUUAUGAAUAUUAACACUAUUAUUUUUUUUAAAGCACUUAUUCAUGGCACAAGGAACUUAUGAUGAAUAGUAAUGAUAAUAAUGAUAGAAGUUGUUUUUCUGGCACAAGGAACUUAUGAUGAAUAGUAAUGAUAAUAAUGAUAGAAGUUGUUUUCCUGGCACAAGCAACUUAUGGGAUUCGUCCAUUUGGUUCUAUAUUUCUCCGCUUGCUUGAGCGUUUAAGAGUUAAAGGACAAAUUAUUAAGUAGAAAACACCAAACGAAUUGGAAGGCUUUUGUCUUCUUCAAUUGGUAUGACCUAUAUUUCUUAUUAAACUUCGUAUUUUACAUUCAAUAUCAUCAUCACAAUCAUUUUAAUUUAUUUUCAUGAAUAAACUUUUAUGUCUCAUUUUAAUUGAAUCAUUAAAAUUUAUUAAUUGAAUUUUUUUUUAAGAUGGUACCGUUAAUGUGUCAAGUGAUAUCAAUUUAAAUUUUUAAAAAAAGUUGUUUGAAUUAAUUUGAUUUCAUUCGGUAAUCCAAACAGUGAGAUAGUGUGUUUAACUACGGGGAAUAACAUAUAUCCAAAUGGUGACAAUCUGGUGGAGCGAAACAGAUAUCGAAGAAAGAGUAGUUUAAUGAAUUUGGAGUCGACUUCUGGAAAAUCUGAAUUAUAGAAGUGAACGAAGAGGAAAUCUCUUCUUUGGUGCCGUAAUCGACAUAAACGGCCAUUAUGAAUGGCAACAUCGAUAAUUAUUGAGUACAAUGAUUAAAAUUUUCAGUUAAAAAAAAGGAAUGGAAAGGAAAACAAAAAGAAAAACGUGGAAAGAAAGAAAGAAUAAUAAUAAUUAAUUAAUAAAUAAAAAGAGAAUUGUGGGGGCGAUGCUUUUGAACAAAUCUUGAUUUAAACUAUGUAAAGAAAAUAUGCGUUAUAUAUAUAAUUAAUUAUGCACUUAUACUUAAUAUAUUAUAUAUUUAAUGUCAUAUUUUCAUAUUCUCGGGAAGUGGUAAUAUACAAGUACUUGAUUUGAUUUAUUUCUUGAUCGCUUCGUGAAUUUUAUGUUUGUAACAAUAGGGACAGAAUUUCUUCAAUUCCAAUCGACUGGGCGUAUUGUGUCAAUUUUUUUUGAGUAAUAUACCUAGAAAUACCCGUUGAUUCCUUAUAAACGCCGUUUCAAACACAACUGGUACACCCCAAAAUAACCGUUACUCAGACAUCUUUACUAUUGACCAUGAACCUCCUUUGAGUUUUUAAUUCACCUAACUUUUCUAUUUUUCAAUCAAAAGCGAAGAAGAAAGGAAUGAAAAAAAGAAAGAAAUCAAAGUUGCUAACUCAAAACAAAUCCUGACAAUUUUGGUUGCAAUCAAUAUAGCAAGUCAAUAUAAAUUUAUAGUAAUAGCAAAUAAUAAGAAUAAGUAAUACAACGAUUUCUAACUCUAUUUAGAAUCAAAUCAGAGUAUGGUAUUUUCUUUAAUCAAUUAAUUGAAUUCAAAAUAUUCAAUUAAAAUAAAUUAAAUUGUAUAAAUUUUAUAAUUUUAAAUUAUUAUUUUUGUAUUAAUUUAAAACAAAAUAAAUAUUAUAUACAAUAAUUUAGUUGCAGCAUGUCAGCUUGAAGUCCAAGACCUUAUAACAUAUAAAUUUAAUAGAUAAUUAAUAACUAAAAAAUUAAAUAGCAAAAGCAUAAUUGCGCCACUUCUCACCAUUUUAGUGUAUGCAACUUAUUAUAUAUUUAUAUAUAUUAUCAUUUCAUUUUAAAUAAUUUAAUUUUUAUAUUAAUUUUUAUAAAUUUAGGGAUAAAUCUUAAAAUUAUACAUAAACUUUAAUUUAAUGUGUAAUUGCAUACAUAAACUUUAAUUUGGUACAAUUAUACACAUGAUACUCUAAUUGUGGUUCAAAUACAUACUUGAAACUUUAAUUUUGAUUUAAUCAUACACAUUUAAAUAAAUAAAUACAUCAAUUUAUUUUUAUAUUGGGUAAAUAUAUUUAUGUAUGCAAUAUAUAACAUAAAAUGAUGUUAUAUCAAUAAUUGUGUUAAUAAUUUUCAAGAAUUGGAUCAAAUCAAAAUUUCAUGUAUAAAAUUGCACAAAAUCAAAGUUCAUGUAUACAAUUGCACAUUAAACCAUAAUUCAUGUACAGUUUUAGUAUUUAUCCCAUAAUUUAUUAAAUAAACUUUUUACCUAUAUCAUAUAUAGAGUUGUCUGUGAACCGAGCCAAGGAAUGCCCGCUCGAAAAAAUGAGGGUUUAAGAAAAAAAAUAUGCCCAAAAAAAGGGCUUGGAUAAAAAGACAAGGCCCGUUUAGAAAAUGAAUCGGGCCUUUGCUAAGGUUUUUUUUGUCCAAGCUCAGCCCGACCCAAAUUUUCAAUAAAAAAACCCUACUGUUUUUACCGCUAUUUUUUCAUAUUUUGGUGUUGUUUUCUCACUUUUUGCCACUGGUUUACUAUCAUUUCACUAUUAUGUUACUACUAUUUUUUUUGUUAAUGUUUGGAUAUUGUAUAACACUUGUUUUAUUGUUAAUUUUGUCACUAUUUUAGAGGCAUUUGUUUGUUAUGUUGUACUUAUCUUAGUUUUUAUUUAAGUAUAAAAAAUUUUUAAAUUCUAUUUUCAAUUUAUUGGAAACAUGUAAUUUAAUAUUUGUAGUAUAUUUGGUGUAUUAUAAUAAUAUUUAUUAUUAAAAUAUUAAUAUUGAAUAUUUUCAAUAAUAUGUGAAGAAUAUUAUUUAAAAUUAUUUUUUAAAAUUUAUUAUUAAAUUAAAAUUGAAAUAUUAAAUAAUUUAUUAAAAUAAUUAAUUAUAUUAAUAAUUAAUUAUAUGACUAAAUAUAAAUAAUUAAAUAUGUAUGUUUAAUAAUAUUGAAAAAUAUAAUAUUUUAUAUUAAUAUUUUAAAUAUUUUUAAAAAUAAAAAUAAAAGUUAUUUUUAAUAUAAUAAUAUUAAGCUUGAUUUAAAUUAAUUUUUAUAUAAAAAUAAAAUUACCUAUAGAUGAGCUCAUUUUUUAGAAAAUGACUUACACUUUUCAAAAUGAUAAGUCAUUUUAUAGGAAAAAGAGCUAAUUUUACGUUGACCUAUAAGUCAUUUUCCGUUGACCAAACUGUUUUCUGUAAAACAAACAUAGAAAAAUGCAGAAAAUAGUUUCCGUAAAACUUUUUACAUGUAAACAAAUGGACCCUUAAUUCAAGCUUAUUCCAACAUAACCCACUUCACUAUUAGCAUGACUCUCCCUUAUACUAAAUUUAACCAUUAACCCUUCUCAUGAUUUCUAACAAAAAUUUUCAAGUUCUCUUUAAUGGCAACUUGUAUUAACUUCAACAAUAAGAAAUUCUAACUAUGGGGUUGGUUGUAUCAAGUUUCAUAGUUUAAAAAUCUAUAAAAAAAUUAUUGAGAAAAUAAUUUGUUUACCUUUGAUGGCCUUGAUGGAGAACAACUUGGUUUCUUCUUCUACUUAGUUUAAAGAAUGCAUGAAGAAGAAGAAGAUUUCCCCUCUCCCACUAUUUUAAAUAUAUAUAUAAAUAACCUAUUAAUCAAGGUAAUUAAGUCACUAAUUAACCUUAAUUAGUUAUGAUCUAAUGGCCAUAAACUUAUCAUGAGAAAAUUAGUGGAAAUGUGCGGCAUUGAUAAUGGUUUGCCAAUAAUCAAACUUUGGGCAUGGUAAUAUUGCAAUCAGGUUUUUGGUAUAAUUACACUUUUAAGUACUUGCUAAAUUCUGUAAUCAAUUCCCACUAGUUGGGUCACUUGAACAAUUGGGUCCAUGUACUAUAGUUACAACUUAUCCAAUUUAAUCAAUUAAUGAUUUGACUUUAUAAUUUCAUGUACAACACACAAACUCCUCUAGUAAAUUCUCGAGCUAGCUUUAUUUAAAAAUUUGGCCUCAAAAAUAGCUUUCCAAAUGUUCAUGAAAAUUGAGUCGUUACAUAUGGUAUUUGUUUUGUUCAGCUUAUUUGUCAGGCUCUAUAUCCUUUGAACUUAUGUUCGUUGACUUUGGUGUUGCUUAAAUGAAAAUGUGGUGAACAAUCUUAUGGAUAGGAGGAGUGUAUGAUUGAGUAUGUGUAACACCCUUAACCCACAUCCUUCGCCGAAUUAGAGUGACAGAGUGUUACUUGUAACACCCCAAACCCAGCCUAAACGUUAUGGUCGUAUCUGGCAAUGUCACACAAUAGUGUUUUUGAAACCUCGUUGUUACGUUGAAAACAUUUCAUGUUAUUAUCUUUAGUAAACAUUUGUUAGAACUUAGGAAGUCGUCUUUAUUCAUUUAAAACAUUUGUUUUGAAACAUCCCUCGUUGCGGAAGCUUUAAUAAAACAGUCUAAGUGAUCAUGCGUUUAGAAACUAUUUUAAUUUUUUGAAAACUGAAUUUCCUACGACCAACAGGUAUAAAUCCAUAAAGUAAAAUAAAUAAAUAAAAACCCAAAAUUUAAAACCAAAGUCCCAGAAGGUCCUUAAAUUACAACCCAAAUAAUCAAUAAUAAUUAAAUCAUAAAACGUAAAUUGAAAACCAUGAAGUCCAAAAAUUACUGUGGUCACCGCUGAGUCCUCCGUCGCACCGAUUCGUCUAAGUCUGGGGAUUACCUGUGCACGUUAAACAAAAAGGGUGAGUUUACGUAAAUUCAGUGUGUAGUCCCGCAGAAACAAAUAAACAAUCAGUAUUCACAGUGCACAGUUGAACAGUCUUGGGCCCAAGCCCAUCUCAGUACAAUGUCAAAAAUGCAGUAGCAGAAUCCUACCCAACCAACCUCCACACACUAUCUCCGCCCAACCCUACACUCCAUGUGGGGAUAUAAUCAACCCACCCAUCCCUACACUCCAAGUAGUACCGAAUGCGGCACAAAACAGUAGUUUGCAGCUGAGCUGCCAGUAAAUUAGGCUUAAAGCCUUUCAGUACACUUCCUCUGAAUAACAACCCCCAACCCGAUGCAAUGCAACAUACAAUAGAUGAUAUGCUAUUAUGCAAUUUCUGUACAUAUAUUUGGUUCAGAUAUUAACAUGCCCAGUAUAGAUAUCAUUCAGUCAAUUUCACACAUUUAGGGGUCUAAGUAGCGCUUACCGACCUUACAGUAGGUUCACAGUUGACUUGGGUGACCCGUACAACCUUAGAAACAUUCCGGUAAAAUUGGGCUACAUGCCCGUGUGUGCCCGUGUGGCCCACUCGGCCCAAUUUGGCCUUGGUCGUGUGAUCCAUUUUUAAUGUAACCCAUGCUAGCUAAAUAUUCAUAUAUGUUUUCACUAUUUACUUAUAUGUUCAUUUAAAGUUGUCUACUUGAGUCAUUGUCACUAAAUUAUUUAUACCUUGAGCUACAGAAUUCCAAAUUAAGAUCCGCUUGAUGUUUUCAAAACUAUACUCAAAUACCUUUCUACCAUAAAAUUUUCAAAUUUUAUAGUUUACCAAAUAAGUACAGUAAAAUCUUCAAAUUUAUCCCAAUUCUGCUAUUUGAUAGCUUCAACGUUUCCUUACUAAAAAUUAUUUAUCUCUUAGUACGGAAUUCGGAUGAUGUUUCCUUUGUUUCUCUUGAAAAUAGACUCGUUAAGGAUUUAAACAUAUAAAUUUAAGCCCCUAAUUAUUUUUUAAAAUUUUCGAUGAUUUUUCCAAAAUCAGAACAAGGAACCAAAACCCAUUCUAACAUUGUCUCACAAAAUUCAUUAUAUCUCAUAACUUAAAAUUUCAUUGCUUACACAGUUUCCUUCAUGAAAAACUAGACUCAAUAAAAUUUAAUAUCAUAUUUUAUUCAACCUCUAACUCAAUUUCCCCUAUUUUUGAUGAUUUUUCAAAGUUAGACUACUACUGCUGUCCAAAACUAUUUUAAUGCAGAAUGUUGAUUUCCAAGUUUAAAACACCCUUAUUUCCUUUCUCUACAAUUUUUUGCAUCAUUUUCUCUUAUUUCUCGUAUUUCUCGAUAGCAAGCAAUUUCAGCUUUUCGUUGAAUCCCAUUUUCUGCAUUUUGGGUACACACCUGGUAUCGUUUCUGAUGCGUAAGCACUCUUAAGCCUCCAGAACCUAAAAAUCGACCAAUAAAUCUCCAAAUUAAUCACUUAAUUCAUUUUUAAUCAACCAAUUUUGGAAGGAACUCGACUAAAAAAACCUAACAAAACCCUUACCUUGCUUCAGUAACCACGACUUCGCACAAUCAUAGUGUCGAUUCAAAACCACCAACCCCUUGAUUAACUCAUAAACACCAAAAAAGAAACCCCUUUUCAGAGAUUAACCAAGAACGAUUAACAAUAGAAAAAACUGUUACUUACCGAACACACGCAACCAACGAUGAACAACCAAAUCAAUUGGAAAAUAAUGAAAGAAAAGGAAGAGAAAAAAAUAAUGGAAAUUUCGGCAGCAACUAGGGGAAAGAAUCGGUAGAGGAGAGAAAAAAGAAGAAAAAAUCAGAAAAAGUUUGGGUAAUUGGAGAGAAAACCAAAACUCUACUUUUUUUUCUACAACAAAAAGAUAAUCAGAUUAUUUUCUGAUAACCUCUCCCCCAUUAUCUCCUAAAAUCACUCCUUAUUAACCCACUAAAACACAACUACUCAGAAUUUUACCCCAACACAACUCUUAGCCAAAAUUGGAGCAAAAAUACUGUCUCUACGCCAUCAUAGAGAAUUGAACAUAAGACCUCCUUCACACCAACACUCCAUUUAUCCACCAGACCAGCAAGCCCAUUCUGUUAAUUAUUUGUCAUCUUUUACUUAAAAGCCUACUGACCAAAGAUAGGGCUUAUUCAUAAAAAUACCAAAAUUUUCCCAAAACCUGGCUUGAACUUGGGACCUCUCACACACCCAAAACACUUAACCACUAAAGCAGAUACACAAUUGUGUCACACCUUCGUAAGAACAAAAAUAAAAAUUUUGGGACGUUACGUUACUAUACAAAAUAGAACAUUUCAUGACAACACAUAAAUAAUUAUGCAAAUUAUCACAAUCAUUAAUUAACCAUAUUAAAAUAUAACAUAAAUAUCCAUACGACCUUUAAAUCGAGCUUAUAUGUCCCUAAAAAUAGCUUGAGAUCAAUCUAGGAUCAAUUUUGAACAAAAACAUAAAUUUUAAAAAAACCCUAAAAAUUUUGGAAAACAUGGGUCACACAGCCGUGUGUCCAGGCCAUGUGACAUAGCCCAGACCUUGUGGGCAUUCAAAAUCAGGUAACGCAGUCAUGUCCCAGCCCGUAUGUCUACUUGUGUGAAUAUUCGAAAUAGGGUCUCACGGUCGUGUCGAGGAUCGUAUGCUAAACCGUGUGUAUAUUCAAAUUAUGGACACACGGCCGUGUCGCAGGCCAUGUGCUAGACCUUGCUCAAAACUAUUUUGAGACACACAGCUGUGUCUUAGACUGUGUGAAAUUUUCACUUUAAACAACAACACACAGCCGUAUCCUAAGCCGUGUGCACCAAAAUGUACCUUAAAAAUCAAAUUUACCAAAACAUGUUUACUUAGGCAUCAAGCAACCUAAUUACCAUCAAUUAAACUCAUUCAAAACACGAUUAAACAUGUUCAAAAUAUCCAUCCUAAGUUCCUAACCAUUGUGCCCUCAUUGACACCAUAAUUCAAUAAUCAAAUCAAUCACAUUUAAACCAAGAUUUAAACAUUCAAAUUAUAAAAUCACCAUUAACCAUUCAUACCAAAACACUACUCAUUUCAAGUCAUAAACACCUAGCAAUAUUCACAUACUUUAUAAAGCUUAACUACCAAUACCAAAUAAGAUCCAUACACACAUACAUACCAAACAAAACACAUAUUCACAAGUAUCAUUCAAGGUUUACAACUUUACAUGUAAUUAACAUGAUUUCAAGUCACUUAUUACAUGUCAUAUAACCCAAAACAAACAUUAAACAAACUACCAAUAGUUUCUCGAAUAGUUGAUUCUUGAUCUUGAUCUAUAAUAUAAUUUAUUUCAAUUAUUAGCCUCAAUUUUCAUAUUCUAAUCAUUUCAAUACAUAUGAUCUCUUGUUUACAAAUUUACAUAAUUACCCUAAAUUUUUACACAUUAUUCAAUUUAAUCCCUAUGACCAAAUCAAGCUUAGUUCUACAAUUAAAUUCUCAAUCCAUAGAACUAAAUUUUAACCACAUCCAAAACAAUUCAUAUAUGCUAAAAUUUUCAAGAGUAACAUGUCUAUUUCAAUUAAAUCACUAAACAUCAAAAUUUGUAAAAAUCACUUUACAAACUCAAUACAUAUCAUCACCAAGCUUCAACCCAAACUAUUUAAUAUUACAAAUCUUCAAAAUUUUCAAUACAUAAUUUCUAUACUUUGAUAACUUCACAAAUAAACUCCAAAACUAGCUAAAUUCCAUUAUCAAUAGCUCAAAACUUAAAUUUUAUGAUAAAUAAACCAAGAAAAUACUUACAUGCAUUAAAAACUAUCAAAAACCAAGCUCCCAAGCCUUAGAACAAAGGUGUUUCGGCCAAACCUAAGAAAAAUAAAGAAGAUGACCACUACCCCACUUUUGUUUUACUUUCUUUUUAUUAUUAUUAUAAUGUUUAUUUAUGAAAUUAUAACAUUAUCAAACACCAAUUUGAUAUUGUUUUUCUCUCUUUACCGCCCAUAUUAACUAACUAUGGGCUAAUGGCAACAUAACCCCCCUUAGUUUACUAAUUUAAGCUGUUAUAUUAAAAUAAAUCAAUAAUAAGCAACUUUUCCACCUAUUACAAAUUAAUCCUUUUUCUUUAAUCAAUUCACUAUACGUUAAAUUUUCUAAACCAAAACUUAAUAUAACACUGAUGACUUUGUAAAUAUUAAAUAAUUAAUAAUUUUAGAUUGACACGUCGAAAUUGUGGUCCUAAAAUCAUUAUUUUCAACACCACUAGAAAUCGGACUGUUAUAGUAUGGUUCUACCUCUUAGGGGGAGAUGUAUUCUAGUUUCCUUUCACUUGUUUAGAUGAUGUGUUAAUCAUUUGCUAUUGGUUUUGUCAAAAUGCCAAAUGGUGAGAUUGUUUGAACUUUGACUUCUUUUCUUAUUUCACUUCAUGUUCGAAGAGUAGAUUAAACCAUGCUUUGAUGCAUUCAAAGAAUUUAUGUUGGUAUAUUUGAUUUUAUAAUGAAAUGGCUUAUAGUUUAAUCUCGUUGAGUAGCAAAUGGGGAAGUGAUUUUGUAUUAUAACAUGUGAUGAUCAUUAUCUUUCAAUCAACUACCUUGGAAAAGAACGAGAGGAGUUUGAACUUUUGGGGACUUUCGUAAUAUUUGAAGCUGCUGAGAUAUUUGUUUAUAAAGACUUUUAUUUAUCAUUAAUCAAAAUAAUUCAUGAGAUAAUUUCAACCUUUAUAUUGGAGUUCUAAACUUAUGAAGACUCUAUUAUUGGCCUAUAAAUAGGCAUAAUUACCGCACAUUGAAAAUAGGCUUUUGGAGGGUUUGGAUACUUUGGUGAAUUUUUCAUUGGGCUAUAAAUAGGCAUAAUUACCGCACAUUGAAAAUAGGCUUUUGGAGGGUUUAAGUUGGAUACUUCAGUAAAUUUUUCUUGUGUUUUAUACCACACUCUUUUUAAGUUUUAUUGGAGAUAUUUAUUUGAUUGUAAGUGAGGUAUUUUGGAGAGAAUGAUUUAUAAUAAUUUAGGUUCAAUAUUAAAGUUGCAAAUAAUUACGGGUAAAAGUAAUUUGGACUGUAGUCAAUAGUUGAUCAAGACGAAUUGUAAAUUAAAAUUAUUUUCUAAGUAAAAUUCUACAAAAUAAAACUGGUAAAUUCAAACUGCGUUAAUAAAUAUUACAUAUUAUCUUUCCUUACUUUACUCGUUGCUUUACCUUAUUUUAAAAUUGUUUUGUUAUAAUCUAUUAUGUUUGAACCUUUUCGAUCGAAAUAAAAAAAAUGAGAUUGAAAUUGUGAUAAAGCUAAAAAAAGGUUACAACAAAUAUGAUUAAUAUUAUUUUUUAUAUAUACUUAAUAAAAGUUAAAAAGGGAAUUCCAUUUAUUGAAUAUUAUUUUAUUUAAUAAAAUAUAUUUUAUAUAUUUUAUAUAAAAUUUAAACAUUUUAUUGUUUGUUAGUUAAAUUUUAUUAUUUUUAUUUUCUUUAUGAAUAAAAAUAAUUUUCCUAAAAUAUGAGAUAAAAAAUGUUAUAGAGAAUUAAAUUAAUAAAAAGUACAGUUCAUACUUUAUAAUUAUUAUAAAUGAAAAAAUAUUAUGAAAAAAUAUUAAACAUAAAAAAUUAAUUCUAAAAUAAACUUAACUAUAAUAAAAUAAUUUUAUAUAAAAAAAGAAAUUAUAGAAAAGACUUAUUGAAUAUAUUUCCAAUUUUCGACAUUCAUAAAACAAAAAAUAAAAAAAGUGGUUCUAAUAAUUUAUUUAUACAAAAAAAAAAAAGUGGUCCUGACGUUCAUCCUUUCCCAUCUCUAUAAAUUUGCAUGCAGAACUAAAGCAACACAUAUCAACACAAUCUGUAUAACCAUGAAAACCACAACAGCUUCGGUGUUUCUUCUUUUCAUCAUCUUCUCAAUCACACCAUCGUCCUUUUCGUUUGGUGUGGCCAACUCUACAAACGCUCCUGUGCUCGACAGUGAUGGCAACGAGCUCCGCACGGGCACCCCAUACUUCGUUGUGUCGUCGAUAUGGGGUGCUGGUGGUGGGGGGCUUGCCCUAGGCAUGCCUAGCGGAAACCCAUGCCCGGAAGUCGUUGCUCAAAGAGGAUCCGGUGACGAUGGUAUUCCGGUGAUAUUUUCUAAUUCGGACUCCAACGAUGGCGUUGUUCGCCUAUCCUCUGACAUAAACAUAGAGUUCAUUCCCCUCAGACCCAAACUUUGCCGAACAACAACGGUGUGGAAGGUCGAUGAUUACGACCACUCAGCCGGAAAAUGGUGGGUGAUAACCGAUGGGGUUAAAGGGAACCCGGGUGCCAACACUUUGACCAGUUGGUUUAGAAUAGAGAAGUUGGGUGAUCUUGAUUACACAUUUAAGUACUGCCCCGCAGUAUGUGGAACAUGCCCAGCUUUAUGCAACGAAAUUGUGAGAGACUCAGAUGGAGAAAUGAUACGUUUGGCUCUCUCCAAUGGCCAUGGAUGGCAAUUUUACUUUAAGAAAGUUGAAACAUCAGCCAUGGAGAUUCAACAAGUUCAUAAUUAGAUUGAAAGCAAUCAUUAUGCAUGAACUAGUAGUUACUAUACAUUAUUACCUUCAAGUAAAUAAUGCCGAGAGAACUGAUUGUUAAUUAAGAUUGCCUUGUUUGAAGCAGCAGCAUGAAUAUAUAUAUAUGCUUGCUUACAAGGUUUGUCUCUCAGAGUCCUUCUCUUUGUACUCUUUCCAGCUUAAUGUAUAAACUGUCUACUUAUUUACUUCUUUUAUCGCCAUUGAUUCUAGUAGUAUUAGACUCAUUAACUUGGAUACAUUGUCUUGUAAUUAACCCAAAAAUUAUAUAUAUAUAAAAAAAGAGUGAGAGAGGAAAAUAGACUACCAAGUAACAAGCGAAAAACGGUAAUACUAGGGUUAUUUAGAGUGGUUUCAAUGCACAACGGGAAUGAAUUGUCGUUGGUUGGGUGGUUAGGGCACCUUACUUAUCUUUAGAGCUAAAGAAGGUUUCGUAACUACUCUUUCAAUAAUAUUAUUUUUAAGGUUCGAACCUGCAUUAUCCUUUGAACACGUAAUAUGUUUUAUCAUUACGCUCAACAUUAUUAAUGAUUUACUUUAUUCUAUUCUUAAUUAAUAAUUAUGAUAUAUAUUAAGUUUAAGAUGAAUUUUCUUAUUCAUGUAUAUCAAUUAAAUCAAAUAUUUGUAUUUAAAGUUUUAACCCAACAUUAACUUCUUCUUUUUUUUAUUUCUUUCUUUGUUGGUGAUGAUUAGGAGAUUGAUGGCCGGUCUUUGUGGUUGGUAGCUUUUAACACAAUGGCAAAGCCAAGGAGGCUUUAAAUGUUUAAAUGGAUUUUUUUUUCAUUUAAACUUCUUUAUAAUUUAUAAAAUUUUAAAUUAAUAAUGAUAAAAUUACAUUUUAAUCUUUUAAAAAUAAUAAAAAUGUGGAAGCACAUUUGUACGAUUAAUAAUAAUGAUAAGAUUUUUCCCACCACAUGGAAAUUUAUGGAAACGUCAUUGGGUUUUGUAUUUAUGUUUUAUUUGACACUCUUUUAAGUUUUAUUGGGAAGAUUUGCUUGAUUGUAAGUGAGGUAUUUUGGAGAGAAUGAUUUGUAACAAUUUAGAUUCAAUAUUCGAGUUGCAAAUAAAUAUAGAGUAAAGUAAUUUGGGCUUAGUGAAUUAUAGAAUAAAAUCAUAUUCUAAACAAAAUUUUAUAAAAUAAAAUUAAUGAAUCCUAACUAAGUUAACAAAUAUUUCUUCACUCUAGGCAUUGCUUCACCUUAUCUCAAAAUUGUUCUGUAAUAAUCUAUUUUGUCUCGACCUUUCCAACAGAAUUUAAAAUGAAACUAUUUCUGAUAAGUGCAGGCCAAAAACUUUUUCGCGUACCAAUAAAUGGCAAGCGACCAUACUGUGGGCCCAAUGUCCCAACAAUCAUCUAAACAUUUUUUUUAAUAAUAUGUAAUAAUUUAUAUACCAUAUAUGAAUAUUAAUUAAAAUAAUAUAAUAUGGACCCAAAUUGUUUCAUAUUUGAAAUCCAAUUUUUGAUAAUUUCACAUUUCAUAUUUUAUCUUAGAACAAAAAAAAUAUAUUUGAACUUAAUAUUUGGCCUAUUAAUCAAUGGUGUUUACUAUAUUUUAAGACUAUCGAAUUAAUCUAUCGACACUACUUGUAUGGUAUAAUUUAAAUGGGUGUGUGUGGGUAUAUAAAUUUGAAAUUCUAUUGUAUCAAAGAAAAAUUUAGAAAAAAAUAAAAAAAAAAAAGAAUUUGCAAUUUAUAAUUUGAGAUAAAAAUAAAAAAAUGAGAUUUGUGAUAAACCAUAAAUUAAGCUCAAAAAAAGUUACAACAAAUAUGGUUAAUGUUAUUUAUAUAUAUACUUAAUAAAAGUAAAAAUAUCGAAAUUCCAAUAUUAUUUUUAUUUAAUAAAAUAUAAUUAAUAUAUUUUAUAUAAAAUUUAAAUAUUUUAUUGAAAUAUUAUGUUAGGUAAAUUUAUAAAUAAAAUUAAUUUUACUAAAAUUUGAGAUAAGAGAAUUAAAUUAAUAAAAGGCAUAUUUCAUAUUUUAUAGUUAUUAUUAAUAAAAAAUUAUUAUAAAAAUAAAAAAUCAAUUCUACAACAUAAUGAAAUAUUUUUAUUAAAAAAACCAGAAAUGAUUGAUGGAAUAUAUUUCCAAUUUUCGACGUUCAUAAAAAAAAAAAGAGUGGUCCUAAUAAUUUAUUUAUUGGGAAAAAAAAAGUGGUCCUAUUAAUUUACCUCACAUUUGAAAUGUGUUAUAUGUAAUAAUAAUAAUAUCUAUAUAAAUUUUGGACGUUGAUCCUUUCCCAUCUCUAUAAAUUCGCAUGGAGAACUAAAGCAACACAUAUCAACACAAUUUAUAUAACCAUGAAAACCACAACAGCUUCGGUGUUUCUUCUUUUCAUCAUCUUCUCAGUCGCACUAUCGUCCUUUUUGUUUGGUGUAGCCAACGCUACAAACGACCCUGUGCUCGACAUUGAUGGCAACGAGGUUCAAACUGGCACCCCAUACUACGUUGUGUCGUCGAUAUGGGGUGCUGGUGGUGGGGGGCUUGCCCUAGGUAGGCCUAGAGGAAAGCCAUGCCCGGAAGUCGUUACUCAAAGACGAUCCGGUGACGAUGGUAUUCCGGUGAUAUUUUCUAAUUCGGACUCCAACGAUGGCAUUGUUCGCCUAUCCUCUGACAUAAACAUAGAGUUCAUUCCCCUCAGACCCAAACUUUGCCGAACAACAACGGUGUGGAAGGUCGAUGAUUACGACCAUUCAGCCGGAAAAUGGUGGGUGAUAACCGAUGGAGUUAAAGGGAACCCGGGUGCCAACACUUUGACCAGUUGGUUUAGAAUAGAGAAGGUGGGUGAUUUAAGUUACAAAUUUAAGUACUGCCCCACAGUAUGUGGAACAUGCCCAGCUUUAUGCAACGAAGUUGGGAAAGACUCAGAUGGAGAAAUGGUACGUUUUGCUCUCUCCACUGGCCCUGGAUGGUCAUUUUACUUUAAGAAAGUUGAAAAAUCAGCCAUGGAGAUUGAACAAGUUGUUCAUAUUUAGAUUGAAAGCAAUCAUUCUGCAUGAACUAGUAGUUAUUAUAUAAUAUUAGCUUCAAGUAAAUAAUGCUGAGAGAACUGAUUGUUAAGAUUGCCUUGUUUGAAGCAGCAGCAUGUAUAUAUAUAUAUGCUUGCUUACAAGGUUUGUCUCUCAGAGUCCUUCUCUUUGUACUCUUUUCAGCUUAAU